AGGGUUCGAUUCUGGCUCAGGAUGAACGCUAGCGGCAGGCCUAAUACAUGCAAGUCGGACGGUAAGCGCCCCUCGGGGGCGCGAGAGUGGCGGACGGGUGCGCAACGCGUAUGCAACAACCCCCGCGGCCGGAUAGCCGGUGGAAACGCCGGAUAAUACGGCAUAGUUCCCCCGGGGAGGCAUCUCCCUGUGGAUAAAGCGGCGACGCGGCGGGGGACGGGCAUGCGUCCCAUUAGAUAGUUGGCGGGGCGACGGCCCACCAAGUCGACGAUGGGUAGGGGAUCUGAGAGGACGGUCCCCCACACUGGUACUGAGACACGGACCAGACUCCUGCGGGAGGCAGCAGUAAGGGAUAUUGGGCAAUGGGGGGAACCCUGACCCAGCCAUGCCCGCGUGAGGGAAUGAGGCCCUACGGGUCGUGAACCUCUUUUGUCCAGGGACAAGGGCCCCCACGGGAUGGGGGCUUGAGGGUACUGGAAGAAUAAGCAUCGGCUAACUCCGUGCCAGCAGCAGC
rnacentral:rRNA from 1 species